UCAGAGGGGGAUAACACUUGGAAACAGGUGCUAAUACCGCAUAACAGUUUAUGCCGCAUGGCAUAAGAGUGAAAGGCGCUUUCGGGUGUCGCUGAUGGAUGGACCCGCGGUGCAUUAGCUAGUUGGUGAGGUAACGGCUCACCAAGGCCACGAUGCAUAGCCGACCUGAGAGGGUGAUCGGCCACACUGGGACUGAGACACGGCCCAG
rnacentral:rRNA from 1 species